GAUGAUGAGGUUAAUAGGUUCGAGGUGGAAGCAUGGUGACAUGUGGAGCUGACGAAUACUAAUCGAUCGAAGACUUAAUCAAAUU
rnacentral:rRNA from 1 species